rnacentral:rRNA from 1 species
UACGUAGGGGGCGAGCGUUGUCCGGAGUUACUGGGCGUAAAGCGCACGCAGGCGGUCUGCUAAGUUUGGAGUGACAGUUGGUGGCUUAACUGCCAAAGUGCUUCGAAAACUGACAGACUUGAGGGCUUCAGAGGGACACGGAAUUCCGGGUGUAGCGGUGGAAUGCGUAGAGAUCCGGAAGAACACCGGUGGCGAAGGCGGUUAGCUGGGCAGUUGCUGACACUGAGGCGCGACAGCGUGGGGAGCAAACAGG